rnacentral:rRNA from 1 species
UACGAAGGGGGCUAGCGUUGCUCGGAAUCACUGGGCGUAAAGCGCACGUAGGCGGCAUCUUAAGUUAGGGGUGAAAUCCCAGGGCUCAACCCUGGAACUGCCUUUAAUACUGGCAAUCUCGAGUCCGAGAGAGGUGAGUGGAAUUCCGAGUGUAGAGGUGAAAUUCGUAGAUAUUCGGAGGAACACCAGUGGCGAAGGCGGCUCACUGGCUCGGUACUGACGCUGAGGUGCGAAAGCGUGGGGAGCAAACAGG